AUUGAACGCUGGCGGCAUGCCUAACACGUGCAAGUCGAACGGCAGCACGGCAGUAGCAAUACUGUGGGUGGCGAGUGGCGGACGGGUGAGGAAUACGUCGGAAUCUGCCCAGUCGUGGGGGAUAACUAGCCGAAAGGUUAGCUAAUACCGCAUACGACCGAGAGGUGAAAGCGGGGGACCGCAAAGGCCUCGCGCGAUUGGAUGAGCCGACGUCGGAUUAGCUAGUUGGUGGGGUAAAGGCCCACCAAGGCGACGAUCCGUAGCUGGUCUGAGAGGAUGAUCAGCCACACUGGUACUGAGACACGGACCAGACUCCUACGGGAGGCAGCAGUAAGGAAUAUUGGUCAAUGGAGGCAACUCUGAACCAGCCAUGCCGCGUGCAGGAUGACGGCCCUAAUGGGUUGUAGACUGCUUUGUACCAGAGAAAACCUAUCUAACGUGUAGAUAGCUGAUAGUAUGGUAAGAAUAAGCAAUCGGCUAAAC
rnacentral:rRNA from 1 species